rnacentral:lncRNA from 1 species
UGAGGACAAGAUUCAUGACCCUUACAUCAUCGCCAAGGACUCUCUUGAGGUCACGCCCACCAUGUGUUCGAUGAAAUGCUCCAUCCCCGACACCGAGUCCAAUCUCACCAUGGUUGCAGAGGUGACCUACGCUAGUACAGCCACUGUCUCUAUGGAGUUGGUAGCUGCUCAGGAAGCCAUUGAUGCCACGUACAGUGACACCUCUGACCAUUCCAAGAUGAUGCACACCAAGUGUUUGACGGUUGUCCUCGAUGCCAUUGGUGACACCGGUUAAGCUAUGGUUGUGUUCCAGACCUGGACAGAUGCAUUCAAGGAUGUUCCGACCUCCGUUCAGUUCAUGGACUUUUUCUCAUCAAGUAUGAUGGCUAACAUCAAGUGGAACACACCAAUACCCAUUAAGUAUUCGGUGCAGUUCCUUGGGCAUGACAUGUUGGCUACAAACCCUCUUGAUGUUAACUCAUGGCCACCUCCUUGGUCAGAUGGAGUGAUUAGAGGUAGAGACUUAAGGCCUUCGCCAUGGCCGGGAUUCAAUUUCUGUGGGACGGUGGAACACUUGAUGCCACCAUGGCCACCCCCAACUCAGCCAAUGCCUCUAACGUAUCCAUCAAAAUUUAGCCUUGUGUUUACAAUAGAUGGAGUACACAUUGAUUGGAAUCUUGUUGUUGCAGUGCAUAAGAUUUUUUGGAGUGUGAUGAUCAAAUCAAUGAGACAUGUACCAAGCAUCAGUAGUGAGCUGGAUGACAUCCAAGGGAAAUCCACUAUGAUAUUUAUUGAUGUUACAAUCCCUGAAGGAUGUAAUCCAAAGAAAUCAGGCUCUGCGACAACAGAAACAAUAUUCAACUCAUUCUCAGAACUAUUAGAUGUGCACUUGACUACUAUUGAAAUGCUUGUCUCCAAAAGAAGCCAAGAAAUUCGUUGUUGGCAGGGAGCUCUUGAGUUGCAAGUCAGUGUGCUCUUCUGGUUACUGGCAAGGAACAUCAAUCCUCCUAAAUUUGAAGUACAAGUACUGCAGUUUUUAUUGAGGGUGCUCAUUGGCAGCUUAAGUGAAAAAUACUCUGGUAAUACUAUUGAUCUUGAGCUAUCAAGAUCACUUCAAUCUGGGACACAUAUUCUUGACCUUUAUUCUGCAGAGGAGCACAUUUCCGACAAUUUCCUUAAU